rnacentral:lncRNA from 1 species
CCUGGGCCAUCUUAAUUUCCAAUGGAGAGAUUAAUGACAUACAACUGUUCAGAAAUCAGAACUUGAAAGAAUUUCAUACAAGGCUCACAUCACAAGUUACAUAAAUCUUUUGACAACAGUAUUUUGAUGGAAGGCAGGUCUAAACAACAGAGAACUAAAUUUAGCAUUCAGGGUGAAAGAUGACUUUGCCAGAAAUAGCCACAAAAGGAAUUGAGAAAAAGUGUGUGUUUGUUAUUGUUGUGGCUGCUUUUUCUUUAUUUGUCAGAAUUAUCUGAAUUCCUGUCUCCGUUUUGUUUCAAUUUGUUUGUAUGGUUUUUGCUAACAUUUUGGUAGCACUGAUUCCUACAAACUAUUUUUGACCCUCAAAAUUUUCUUUAGUAUUUGAACUCUACCUUGUGUCCCCAAUGAGUUUAUCUUAGCAGAGCAAUUCCUUUAAAAUUAUACCUCGGGUCUUCACCUUCCAGUGAAGGAAGGCACUAGCUCCUAUCACAGGGCCCAGCUUCAUGAAUAAUCUUGUCAUCUUCUAUAAUUUCUUCUGAAAGCUUCCAUUUUUGGACAGAGAUGGGGAACCUCUUUACUCUUUCAACGGCAUCCAAAGACAGUUCCUGGCAGCUACAAUGGGAAAAGUCCACUUGAGGGUGUUCCUACAAAGUAUAUAAGCAGCCUUUUCGAAAGAAAAAAAUAAUGGUGGGGCUCACCUGGCCACUGGUAACCUUGUCUUUACACCUAGCGCCAUAUCUAAUUACCUGGGCUUCCUUCUGUGGAUGGAGAAACAAGGCAAAGGAUGGCCACUGGAAUUUCACACAGUCCCCCUCAGGAGGAUGGGUAAGAAUGAGAAACAAAGGGAGGGCUCCUUUCAAAUGAGCUUACUGCCCAUUCACCCAUCUAACACUGACAGCUAUUUCUUCCAGGCAUUGUUUCCCACAGAGGCAGUUAAAAUUUGAAAUGGUGGUAGACUAUCCUUCCUGCUCUGUUCAAGAUCCACUGGUAACUUCAGUAACAAAAACCAAAGGAAGGGAUUCAUUCUGCCAUUUUGACAAUGAAGAGAGGAAUUCCUGAGUUUCUCUGGUCCCACGUCAUUCAUAUAUAUAUACAUAUAUACAUAUAUAUAUGUGUAUAUAUAUAUAUAUUUUUUUUGGGGGGGGGAGUCAUCUUUUUAGGGCUGUACCCUCAGCAUAUGGAACUUCCCAGGCUAGGGGUCCUAUCAGAACUGCAGCUGCCGGCCUAAACCACAGCCACAGCAACGCCAGAUCCAAGCCAUGUCUGCAACCUACACCACAGCUCAUGGCAACACCUGAUCCUUAACCCACAGAGCAAGGCCAGGGAUCAAACCCGUGUCCUCAUGGACAUUAGUUGGGUUCAUCACUGCUGAGCCAUGAUGGGAACUUCCUGUAUCAUAAUUAAUCUUUUACCUCCUUCAAUGGCUCAUUGAAGCUCCCUAUCCUUUCUAUUUCUCUUACCACCUUAAGAGUUACAGAAUAUUUUCUCUUCCUUUUACAUUAUUAAUGUGAAACAUGUACCACUAUCUUUUGGGCAAAAAUGUCUAACACCUUACACCAAAUGUCAAAGAGGCUAUAUAAAAUAAACACACCACUUAUCCAUUCUCUUCAAAUAAUAUAUCUUUGAAUUCCAUAUGUAGUUUUAUCUUUUUAAAGUGUCUUUCUCUACAGACUACUUCUAAUCUGCCCUACUCAUAGAAAACGAUAGCCACACCUCAAAACUCUAGCAACCAAAGCUCUCCCUACACUGAUUUGCAGACAAUAAAAGUGCCAGGUGGUACCAAAAAAAUAAAAAAAGAAAGAAAGAAAAGAAAAAAAGUCCAUCAUUAAAUGGAAUGUUGUUAAAAAAUAGCUGUUUUAUUUAACAGCUAUUCAUUUUUAUUGAAUAAACAUUUUCUAGUAUGCAUUCUGUUAAUUGACCUGACAGCAUAUGCUGUAUAUGGAGAAACUUCUAAACAUUAUGCUCUAUGUAAUAUGCUUAUCUGAAAAAGCUCUCAUUUGCAGCAAUAUGGAAAUAAAAUUCUGCUUUCUAAAAUUCAAGACUUUUAAAAUGCAUUAAUCCACACACUUUAAAAAAUUGCUCUGGACAUUUUAAAAUCCUUUCUUUAAGGGGAAAAAAAACCACUUUAGUAAUUGGUAAUAGUAUUUGUUGCUGAGUUUCAUAAUGGAGGAGUCCAUAUCCAGCACAGAACUUUUACAGACCUAGAAAUGGGGUGGGCAUAAUAGGAAAUAAAAAGCAGUUAUGGUAUUGGGUAGAGAAUUAUUCAAUGGCUCAAGGAGCAUGUUGGGAAACUCUAUCAAAUUAUAGUAUUAGAAAACUAUUGUUAUAAUCGUUUCAUGGCUCAGAUGCAAGUAGAGUUGAAACAUUACAGAGAUAAUAUAUUUAGUUUUGAGAGAGGAAGACGGCUUGUGAGUGUGUGGCUGGGCUCCUCCAGCUAAUGGUAGCACCUCUCCUAGGCUGAUGGCUUCUGAGUGAUGAUGGCAACUUGCAGACCAAAAUCACCAACUCUGCGGCCUAGAGGGCACAAGUGAGCCAACGUAGUGGAUGGGAACUGGGGCUGGAGAGCUUCAGACUCCCUGACACAGCAGCAGUUCAUCUCCCCAGAUUGUUACCCGGGUAGGAGUAUCCGGCCCUGGUUACCAGAUCUGCUGAUUUUUCAAGAGAAUAUGGAAAAGCCAGAUUUUGCCCUUUUUUUUUUUCCGAGGUUAUCAACCACGUCAUUUAAAAAAACAACAAUUCUGUUUGGACCCAAUUUGGCCAAUCUAUAGACCAAACCCAGCACAGAAGUCACUCACUCCACCACGCAUCUUCACAAAAGCUCUUCAUCCUAAAAAGGCCCUUGGUCUCAUUUGUAGUUAUCUUCAGUAAUAUGAAUCAAACAUGAAAAGGUUUGCAUUUAUUUACCUUAAAUCCUGGCACUAGGUAAAAAUUCUCUAUCGUCCAUGAUUGUACUGGUGCAACUGGAAAAUCCUAGAAUGUUCAGUUUCAUACACAGCAUAAUUAACUCAUUUUUAUACCAAGCCCUUUUAAGCCAGAUCUUUUUGUUCCAUGGACUUCUAACAUAUUUUACAGUUCUAAUUCUCUUCCACUGUCCUACAUUAAUCAAAGCUGUAACCCCUGUUGUCUUUGUACUACAGAAUCAGAAUGUGCCCCUGGCGAGGAAUGGGGGAAAAGUCAACAGGAAUUAAAUUUCAGUGCAACUGUUUACUCAACUGUGGCCUGCAGUUAUUGAAAUUUUAUCCGUGGUUUUGUGUGACUACCGCAGUAAUGAAUUCAGCAUGGCUGUGAUUUUCUCACUGCUGGUAUUCUCACUUCAAGUAAAAACCUGUAGAAUACAAAUGACGAAAACAACCCACGUCCAUCACGGUGACACUCAGAUUUCUCCAAACUGUUUAAUUGUUGCAGUUUUCAGUCUGGAAGAAAACUGAUCACACGAGUCCUGUAAAACUUUUUUGAUACUUAAAAAGUUUUUUUUCUUAUUUCAUCUACAGAUUUUCUCCCCCCGCCCCAACAACCUGUUAAGAGCCUCCAUCGUACACUUAGGGAAGUCACACAGCUGUCAGUAUUUUAUUUUAAAAGACCGAAAAGGCUGGCCAACCACAGUAUGUGGGGUUUUAGCCACAAUGAUAGAGCCAACUGCUUUCUUCCUUCCCAGAACAUAUGAGUGGCAAAUAGGUAUAUAAUUGUUAUAAAAAAAUAUUAAUAGCACUUUGAAGCACAAUCAAAAGGUAUAGACUUUUAUAUUAAUAACUCAUAACAAGAUAUUUUCCAUAGUGGGUAUAGCCAAGAUAAAGUUACUGAUGGUUUUCAAGGAAGAUGCUGUUAAAAGGCUCUCAAAUAACCUUCUUCUGGGAGGUCAGCUUGUGGUUUCUGUUAGUGGGCUAGGGGUGUGUGUAUGUGUCUCUGUGUGUAUGUCUCUCUGUAUGCGUAUCUGUGUGUAUGUUGAGAGUAUAUAAAGUUUUUGGCAGACUUACAACUUUGAGACAGCAAAUGGUUUUUAUUUCUUCAAAUAAAACUCAGAAGUUCAUUUCCUAUUUAUCUGAUUAACAUACUCUAAAUACUAAUUACUCAGGGUGCAUACCCCAUUAGUCAACAGCCUCCCCUCAGCUGCUCCAUCAAGAAACAGUUGAUCUUGGCCUCUCUAUGGUAAGGGCAUAGAAAAUGGCAAAUCCAAUUACCAACUACUUAUUCCCAAAAUAACCAUAACUAUCUGAGAAUAUCACAUGAACAAACACACACACACAUAUAAAUAUAUAUACAUACACAUACACAUACAUAUACCUUUCUACCACUUACUGACAGGCUUUGUCAACACUCUCACUGGGUAGAAUUUGGCCAUUUGUACUAAUGCAAAUACCCCAAGUUUAUACACAACAGAGAUCAUAAAUCUCAGCCGAUAUGAUGUGUACCAGGGAGCAGGCGCAGUCAAGUUUGAGCUGCCACUGAGAGAGAGAUUAAAUUGCUGCAAGUCCUCCGAAUUAAGAUCUUAGCUUGUCUGUUCGUUUCCUUCUCUUUCUCUCUGUUGUAUCUUUCCCGGACAGAUUCCACUGCCUCGUGCUGGUUCCACCAACCUCUGAUCAGCUAACAAUGUGAUGAUUCCUUAUUUGUAAAAAUUCUCAGCAAGGAGAAAACCAAGCAUGCUUUAGACCCUGGUAAAAGCCAUAUGCCUAAGACACGAAAGGAUGGCCUUUGCUUCUCUGAUAGAGAGUCCAAGAAAAUGGUUGGAGAGGUUUGCCUUUUUCUUCCUGUUCUCUCAUCCCCCAACAAUUUGUUUCAUUCAGAAAGGCCUCAAGAUGCAUCAUUCUUUUUUUCACCUUUUUCCAAAUGGCACCAUUACUUUGUAUUGAAUCAAGGAAUCAAACACUAACAUGCAACAAAAGUCAACCAGUAUCAUAGACAAAAGCAAACAGUAUUUCCUCAUUCCAAGAACGGCUGAGAAAACAAUGCCUAUCUUCAAACAAAUGUCAUUACUUAUUGGAAUCUGCAUCAACACUCUGGCCACACAACACCACCUUCUAGGUCACACCCUUUACCAUCUGGAAGUAUUUUACCAGUCACUGCCAGGUACCCACUUAAAUGCCUAGAAAGGAUAUAAGAGGAAGGAAUAUGUCUCAACUUAUGUGUAUUUUGGGGAGCCACCAAUAAGACACAUUAAUAGGAUUUAGCCACAUACCAACUGCCAUAGGUAUAUAAGAAACAUCUGUAAGUGGCUCAUCUCCCCAAAUUUCUCCAGGUAGCAGCAAACAAUUUCUUACACUGAGGCCUGUGUUACUGAUGUCUUGUUACCUACCCAAUUCUGCUUGGGUAUUUCUAUUUAUUUAUAUUCCCCUUAUUCGCCUACUUCUAUCUUAUAGUUUUAUUUCUCUUUCAUCCUUGAUCCCUUAUUUUGUUUCCUUCUUUUUUUUUUUUUGUCUUUUCUAGGGCCACACCCGCAGCAUAUGGAGGUUCCCAGGCUAGGCGUCUAUCGGAGCUGUAUACCAGAGCCAUAGCAACGCCAGAUCCGAGCCGCGUCUGCAACCCACACCACAGCUCAUGGCAAUGCCGGAUCCUUAACCCACUGAGCCAGGCCAGGGAUCGAACCUGCCACCUCAUGGUUCCUAGUUGGAUUCUUUAACCACUGAGCCAUGACAGGAACUUCUGUUUCCUUCUACUUGAUACGCCUUUUUUUUUUUUUUUUUAAUUCAAACACU